CGCAGGUUUCGGUUCCUCGACAAUUGGCAAGUAGCACAUGUAAUUCUGCCCAUCAUUAUUGGUCAUCGGCACCGAUUCCUGGCCAUUAUCCGGGUGGAAAGGGGAUUCGGGGGAGUGGAAUUCGAUCCUGUACUUGGGCUCUCUUGCGGAGCCGGAAGUGGAGGUGAAGAUCUCGUCGGCGGUGGCGGCGGGGAUGAGGAGAUAGACGGAAAAGAAGAGGAGGGAGAGGAACCAGCGGGG
rnacentral:misc_RNA from 1 species